AUUUGUCAGCCUGACAGAAUCAAGAGAAAUUCAUGUUUGAAUAACUUUGUUCCGUUCUGAAUGAAACUUCAUAAGAGGUGAGGUUGGGGCACCAAGUUCCAUGGAUGGCGAGCAGCAAACCUUGACAGAAAAUACAUAGGUAUGAAGGCACACUCCGGACCAAUCCAUAGGGCGGGGACUGCCAUUGGUGCUGAGAAGGAGAAAAAUGAGGCUAGUUUGUGUUUGGGGACCUUUGUGUACUAAGAUGACACCCAUUACAUUCACCAGAGUUUCAUCUCAUCAGUCAGGACAAGGCUUGAACCUCCGUCCCUGACGCAAGGAGGGCAAGGUUUAACUCACUGCGCCAUCAGGUGCUAAUGAUGUGGCUGUACAUUUCCACUUUAUUAUGACAAAAUGCGCCAGGCAAGUGGGGGAAGAAAAAUUCCAAAGAAUGAGCUAUGAUCAGCACAUGUGAUUUUUAAAAGAAUGAUUCAUCAGAAUCUCAAGAAUCCAAGGACUAACAGAACAUAAAGGCAAAAUACUGCAGAUGCUGGAAAUCUGAAACAAGAACAAAGAAUGCUGGAAAAACUCAGCAGGUCUGACAGCAUCUGUGAAGAGAAAGACAGAGUUAACGUUUCGAGUCUGUAUGACUCUGAAGAGUCAGCAUUUUUUGUUUCUGUUUGUGACUAACACAGCACAUUUGUUAUGCAUAAGUAACCAAUGUUGACGAAUUGCAAUGCUCGAAAAGAUACAGGGCCAAUGACUAGUAUGAAAGAGCUUCCAUCCAUGCUAACCCAUAUUCCAACACCCAGAAAUAGAAGGUGUCGGCCAUUUGGAACUUUGAUCUUGCUCCAUCAUUCACUAAGAUCAUGGCUGAUCUUCUACCUCAAAACCAUCUUCUUGUAUUAUUUGAUUGCACUUGAUUCCCUUCAUAUCCAAGAGUCUAUCAAUCUUUAUCUUGAAUAAACUGAACAUCCACAGAACUCUGGGAUAGAGAAUCCCAAAUAUACACACCCUUUAAGUGAAAGCAAUUCUCAUCUCAGGCCUAAAUGGUUGACGCCUUAUUCUGAGACUGGAAUCCUUAAUUUUGACUCCCGAGCCAGGGAAAACAGUCUCCCAGCAUCUACUAAAGAUUUUUUGUUUUAAUGAGAUCACUUCUCAUUCUUCUACACUUUUUAAAAUUCAUUUUCAGGAUGUGGGUGUCGCUGGCUAGGCCAUCCUUAAUUGCCCUUGAGAAAGUUGUGGUGAGCUGC